rnacentral:rRNA from 1 species
AAUGAACGUUGGCGGCGUGGAUUAGGCAUGCAAGUCGCGCGAGAAGCCCCGCAAGGGGUGGAAAGCGGCGUAAGGGAGAGGAACACGUGGUUCAUCUACCCUCAGGUCCGGGAUAGCUGCGGGAAACUGCAGGUAAUACCGGAUAACAUCUCCGGAUCAAAGGUGUGAUUCCGCCUGAGGAUGAGACCGCGUCCUAUUAGCUUGUUGGUGGGGUAACGGCCUACCAAGGCAAUGAUGGGUACCGGGUGUGAGAGCACGACCCGGCUCACUGGGACUGAGACACUGCCCAGACACCUACGGGUGGCUGCAGUCGAGGAUCUUCGGCAAUGGGCGCAAGCCUGACCGAGCGACGCCGCGUGCGGGAUGAAGGCCUUCGGGUUGUAAACCGCUGUCAGAGGGGAUGAAAUGCGUGAGGGUUCUCUCUCACGUUUGACAUAGCCUCAAAGGAAGUACGGGCUAAGUUCGUGCCAGCAGCCGCGGUAACAC